CAGCCAGAAUAGCUGAUCCCAACUGACCAAAGGGAUUUCUAUGCCAUGUGUUGUCAUGCUUAGUACAUGAUCUAGGGAGAAAGCUGACUAGGGGCUGCUGUUUGCAAACUGACUGAGCACUGUUCAGCGGGUGAACCUUCCCAUUGAAGCAGCAAGUCAGAAAUCGGAGUUUGACAGCAAGUUGUCUCUGAUUUGCUUUCCUCAAGGAUUAUAAAAGGUGGAUAUGAUUCUGCAGCACUGAAUUAUGCC